rnacentral:misc_RNA from 1 species
GAUGAAGAACGUAGCGAAAUGCGAUAAGUAAUGUGAAUUUCAGAAUUCAGUGAAUCAUCGAAUCUUUGAACGCACAUUGCGCCCGCUAGUAUUCUGGCGGGCAUGCCUGUCCGAGCGUCAUUUCGACCCUCAAGCCCCCGGGCUUGGUGUUGGGGAUCGGCGAGCCUCCGCGCCCGCCGUCCCCUAAAUCUAGUGGCGGUCUCGCUGUAGCUUCCUCUGCGUAGUAGCACACCUCGCACUGGGAAACANCGCGGCCACGCCGUUAAACCCCCAACUUCUGAACGUUUGACCUCGGAUCAGGUAGGAAUACCCGCUGAACUUAAGCAUAUCAAUAAGCGGAGGA